GAUGAACGCUGGCGGCGUGCCUAAUACAUGCAAGUCGAGCGAACGGACGAGAAGCUUGCUUCUCUGAUGUUAGCGGCGGACGGGUGAGUAACACGUGGAUAACCUACCUAUAAGACUGGGAUAACUUCGGGAAACCGGAGCUAAUACCGGAUAAUAUUUUGAACCGCAUGGUUCAAAAGUGAAAGACGGUCUUGCUGUCACUUCUAGAUGGAUCCGCGCUUCAUUAGCUAGUUGGUAAGGUAACGGCUUACCAAGGCAACGAUGCGUAGCCGACCUGAGAGGGUGAUCGGCCACACUGGAGCUGAGACACGGUCCAGACUCCUAAGGGAGGCAGCAGUAGGGAAUGUGCGGCAAUGGGCGAAAGCCUGACGGAGCAACGCCGCGUGAGUGAUGAAGGUCUUCGGAUCGUAAAACUCUGUUAUUAGGGAAGAACAUAUGUGUAAGUAACUGUGCACAGCUUGACGGUAACGAAUCAGAAAGCCACGGCUAACUACGUG
rnacentral:rRNA from 1 species